rnacentral:rRNA from 1 species
GACGAACGCUGGCGGCGUGCCUAAUACAUGCAAGUAGAACGCAGUUGCGAACGGGUGAGUAACGCGUAGGUAACUGCCUCAUAGCGGGGGAUAACUAUUGGAAACGAUAGCUAAUACCGCAUACUGUGAGAUGGACCUGCGUUUUAUUGGGUAGUUGGUGAGGUAAAGGCUCAACAAGGCGACGAUACAUAGCCGGCCUGAGAGGGUGAUCGGCCAAACUUGGACUGAGGAACGGGCCAGACUCCCUCCGGGAGCAGCAGGUGGGAAAUAUCGGCAAUGGACCGAAGUCUGACCGAGCAACGCCGCGGGAGUGAAGAAGGGUUUCGGGUCGGAAAGCUCUGUUCUUAGGGAAGCGGUACCUAACCAGAAAGGGACGGCUAACUCCGUGCCAGCAGCCGCGGUAAUUC